rnacentral:rRNA from 1 species
AUGGCGCACCAGGUAGUGGGUGCGCCAUUAGUAUCCAAGAUGUUCUACUCGCACCAGCUCCUCGCGCGGAAGGCGCCGCUCGGCCAGAUAUGGUGCGUCCCCUCCCCUCUCUCCCUCCCUCCCUCGCCGGCCGCCGCCUCUCGCCCCCCUCGGUCGCGGCCGCCGGCCGCCGAUUGCGCCCGUCCCGCGUUUUCCCACUCGGUCCGGGGCGUUUCCGGACGCGCCCGUCCGAUCCGCUCCCAAUGCGGCGGGUUCCCCGUCGCCUCGAUCUCCUCUGACGCUCCUCUGCUCCCCUGUCCCCGUCGCAGGAUGGCCGCCACGCUCCACGCCAAGAUCAACCGCAAGCGCCUCGACAAGCUCGACAUCAUCAAAAUCUGCGAGGAGAUCCUAAACCCGUCGGUGCCCAUGGCGCUCAGGCUCUCCGGGAUCCUCAUGGGCGGCAUGGUGAUCGUGUACGAGAGGAAGGUGAAGCUUCUCUACGAUGAUGUGUCCCGUCUUCUGAUUGAGAUCAACGAGGCAUGGAAGAUCAGGCUGGCCGUGGACCACACCGUCCUCCCCAAGGGCAAGGCUCAAGCCAUGAGUGCGCUCUCUGUCUCCAUGCCCUUCUACAAGUUUCUGAAUGUGCUUGUGUCCUGA